rnacentral:misc_RNA from 1 species
AAGUCGUAACAAGGUUUCCGUAGGUGAACCUGCGGAAGGAUCAUUAUUGAAUACGCUUUGGGUGUUGACGCUGGCCUUUCGAGGCAUGUGCUCGCAUUCAAAACUGUUUAAUCUUCACUUGUGCACCUUUUGUAGUCUUUUGAAGUCAUCUCCGCUGCAAAUGCGGGUUUUUGGGAGUCUGUCUCCCUGGGCUUCAGAGACUAUGUUUUCAUAUACAUUGAAAAGUUACAGAAUGUCUUCUUAUUGGCCGCGAGGCCUUUAUAAACUUAAUACAACUUUCAACAACGGAUCUCUUGGCUCUCC